AGGAUCUACAGCAACGUUAUAUAAAUGAUUUUGUUGAAUAUCUCCAAAACCACAGGCGUAAUCGGAAAGAUUGAGUUGCUAUAUUAGAUGCUGCAUCUGUCUUCAAUGAAGAUGUCUUUGGCACUGGAUCGGCGAAUAAUAGAACAAGCUUUCUUCAAUUUUAAAUCACAAAAGUCCAAACCAAAAUCUUGGGAAAGAUUUUUCCAUUUACCUUUUAUGUAUUCAUGGGUUUGUUUGAAUUUUCCAAAAGAAAAUGUCUAUGUUCACGAUAGAAAAUCUCUCCCGAUCUUGUGUGGUGGCCGAAGUGCCGAGAGUCA
rnacentral:lncRNA from 1 species